GCGAGGAUGGCGGAAUUGGCAGACGCACUAGCUUGAGGUGCUAGCGAGUAACAUCCGUGGGGGUUCAAGUCCCCCUCCUCGCA
rnacentral:tRNA from 1 species